CUCUGCAAUGACUAUACACACUCUGCAGUCAUUAUACACACUGCAUCUAAUACACACAAACACUACAUCCACUACACAAACACACACUCUGCAUUCACUAUACACUCACUACAUCCACUACACAAACACACACUCUGCAUUAACUAUACACUCACUAAAUUCACUAUAAAAACACACUCUGCAUUUACUAUAAACACACCUAUAUUCACUACACAAACACACACUCUACAUUUAAUUCACACAAAAAUUACAUACAUUACACAAACAUACCAUAUGCAUCCUCAAUACACACUGCAUCUAUGACUCACAUACCACAUCAACUUUAAACAUGCACUCUGCACCCACUACACAAAUUCUACAUCCACUAUACACACACCACAUUCAGUACACACACACACACACACACACACACACACACAACUUCAUCCUUGUGUGUAGACUCAGGAGAGGCCCCUCUAGGCAGACUCGGGGGCCCAGCUGUGUCAGGAGCUCCAACAUUUCUGAUGGCAGCCCUGCAAAUCAGUAUAGUGCAUAUGUACUCUUUACCCAGCAAAUUGUGUACACUUUACAAAGUGGAUAGAUUCCUCAGGACUCCCCCUAAUCCACUUUUGGCAACUAACAUAAACAAAACAAAAUAUUUGAGGAUACAGUAAAGGAGC